rnacentral:rRNA from 1 species
UUAAUUGAGGCACUACGGUAAAGAUCUACGGAUCUGAUACAACUGACACCACGCUGACAAGAAAAUUGGCGUUGAGAGAUUAUGAAUUACCAGUACCCUAAACCGACACAGGUAGGAAGGCAGAGAAUGCUAAGGUGCGCGAGAUAAUCCUCUGUAAGGAACUCGGCAAAAUGCUUCCGUAACUUCGGGAGAAGGAAGGCCAUUUUGGAUAUAAAGGUUCGCCCGGAAAGUCUGAGAUGGUGACACAAACCAGUCCCAAGCAACUGUUUACCAAAAACACAGCUCUGUGCAAAGUCGCAAGACGAAGUAUACAGGGUGACGCCUGCCCGGUGCUGGAAGGUUAAGUGGAGAGGUUAGCCGCAAGGCGAAGCUUUGAAAUCAAGCCCCAGUGAACGGCGGCCGUAACUAUAACGGUCCUAAGGUAGCGAAAUUCCUUGUCAGGUAAGUUCUGACCCGCACGAAAGGCGUAAUGAUUUGGGAACUGUCUCGCAGAGGAACUCGGCGAAAUUGGAUUGGCUGUGAAGAUACGGCCUAGGCAUGCCAGGACAGAAAGACCCUAUUGAGCUUUACUGUAGGCUAGUAGUGAACGCGAGAGUGUGAUGCGUAGUAUAGUUGGGAGAAGUUGAUCUCUGGAUUUUGGUUCAGAGGGAUUCAUCAGUGAAAUACCAAUCUUUGCAUUCUUUCGUUCUAACAGUGACCAUAAUCUGGUUACUGGACACUGCUUGUCGGGCAGUUUGACUGGGGCGGUCACCUCCUAAAGAGUAACGGAGGUGUACAAAGGUACGUUCAGAUUGGUCGGAAAUCAAUCGUUGAGUGCAAAAGCAUAAACGUGCUCGACUGCAAGAGAGACAUCACGCGCAGGUAGGAAACUAGGUUUUAGUGAUCCGGCGGUUCCACAUGGAAGGGCCGUCGCUCAUCGGAUAAAAGUUACCAUAGGGAUAACAGGCUGAUCUCCUCCAAGAGUCCACAUCGACGAGGAGGUUUGGCACCUCGAUGUCGGCUCGUCUCAUCCUGGAGCGGUAGUACGUUCCAAGGGUUGGGCUGUUCGCCCAUUAAAGAGGUACGCGAGCUGGGUUCAGAACGUCGUGAGACAGUUCGGUCCAUAUCCGGCAUGUCCGUAAGAGAUUUGAAAGGAGUCUUUCCUAGUACGAGAGGACCGGAAAGAACGAACCUCUAGUGUACCAGUUGUCGCGCCCGCGGCAAACGCUGGGUAGCUAUGUUCGGAGCGGAUAAGUGCUGAAAGCAUAUAAGUACGAAGCCCACCUUGAGAUUAGAUCUCUCAGACCCCAAAGAGAACAUUUGGUUGAUAGGCAAGUGGUGUAAGUGAAGUGAUUCAUUCAGCCUACUUGUACUAAUAGGUGAAAAAAAAAAAGGAA